AAUUUAAAAAAAUAUUUUUGUUAUCUCGUCAACCUUGCACAUUAGCAACAAUAAUUGACCAGAAAUGCAUUAUUCAAUUUAAAUAAGCAAUUACGAAAAGGACACGAGCACAUCUCCCACUUUAAUAACAAUGUGGUGGUUCAAUUCUGUAGCAGAGCGGCACAUCGAUUCUAGUUAAAUUUGGUGGUAGCGAUCGUUUCAAAUUUAUUUUAUUAUUAUUAUUCUAUUGCCGUUUUUAGUAAUUUUUGUUAAAACUUUAGAGGAAAGCUAUUUCUUACUUCCAUAGGGUGACAAGCGCUCUAUGGAAAAUUCUGCUAUCUUCUGUGAUCAAAAAAUGCUGAAAGGAAGACUACACCGCAGUUGUGCGUCCAGCACUCACAUACGGUUCACAAUGUUGGACAAUGUACAAAAAGUAUGAAAUUAAGUUAACGGCAGUUGAGAUGAAGAUGCUUCGUAUGACAGCAGGAGUAAUAAAACUUGAUAGAAUUGAAGUUAAAAUACCAUCUCCCAAAAAAUUGAACACGACCGACUCAGUUGGUAUUGCCAUGUUCAAAGGAGUGAUCCUGAGAACGGAAUAUCAUACAAUGUUCCAACAUGAAAUAAAAAGAAAGGUAGGCCUUAAAACUUCAGGUACAAGCAAAUGCAAAAACACCAGCAUUCAGUUGGCCUCAGAAAUGGAACAAUACAAAACCGGGAGGUUUGCGGCAGAUUUCUGGGGUCAACCCGGUAAAUUCCACAGGCGGAUCACUUUUGUGAAGCAGAUACGUUGGAUAGCUAUGAUUCCCGCGGAAUCGAGAUCAUAACAGGGCCGAGAAAAGAAAGAAGAAAUUAUAAUGAAACAAAGUGAAGAUAACAAUUAUUGAGGUAUAUACAGUCAAACAGAUAUGUAUUCAGGGUGUCCCGGGAUGAGAUAAGAAGACUUUGAGGGAUUCUUGGGUAUAUUCUUAGAAAAAAAUUGUUUUACAGUAACUCAACUCUGCAAAGUAGAUACCCUCUAGCGAAGAUUUACGAAAACGCUUACUUUGGUAUGCCUUUACUCAUGUUAAUGUUAAUAAGAUUAGGGUGAGAGGUGGGAAUAAUUCGCCUUAUCACUGUGGCCUCUGAUGGGCCUAUUGUGUUAAUAACUCCGUUAAUACUUAUGAUAAAAACUUUAUUAAUGUCUUGAUUUUUAGAAAAAAUGCUAUUAUUUGUACCUGCAUUUAAAAAAUAUAAAAAUCUUUUUUAGUUUCUCAGAUAUUAAUUUUUAAAUGGAAUUAUUUUUUUCUUACCCAUGAUAAUUUUUGACUUUGGGGCCGAUUUUCUUCGAUAAAUGUGUUAUAAAUAUACAGCCUUUAAACAGAUAAUUGCUAUUUAUAAAAUUUAUACAACGUUGCAUAGAGGUUGUAUAAGCUAAACGCGGUUUUAGGUUGUUAAGGGCCUGAAUAAGAAUAUUUUUUAAUCAAAUGGCAUUCGAACAUCACAUCAAAAAAAGAAGAAAAGAAAAGAGCAAUGAUUUGUAAAUUUUUUUUUAAACAAACUAAAAACGCGUUUAGCGUAUACAACCUCUAUGCAACGUUGUAUAAAUUUUAUAAAUAGCAAUUAUCUGGUUAGAGACAUUAUAAGCAUUGAAUAGUGUUAUGCAUUGUCUAUACUACGUUUAUAAAUUAGGCUGUAUGUUUAUAACACAUUUAUCGAAGAAAAUCGGCCCCAAAGUAAAAAAUUAUCAUGGAUAAGAAAAAAAUAAUUCCAUUUAAAAAUUAAUAUCUGAGCAAAUAAAAAAUAUUUUAAUAUUUUUUAAAUGCAGAUACAAAUAAUAGCAUUUCUUCUAAAAAUCAAUCAUCAUUAAUGAAGUUUUUAUCAUAAGUAUUAACGGAGUUACUAACAUUAACAUGAGUAAAGGCAUACCAAAGUAAGCGUUUUCUUAAAUCAUCGCUAGAGGGUAUCAACUUUGCAGAUAGAGAGUUACUGAUAAACAAUUUUAUUCUUAGAAUAUACCCAAGAAUCAUCCCUCAAAGUCUGCUUAUUUCAUCCCGGGACACCCUGUAUAAAUGUGUGUCCCAAACGCAACAACAAUUUAAUCACAAAUACACAGAAACCCAAACUUAAGAAUCAAAAAACAGAAUCGAAAUCUAUUCGUUUUGCAUUCCGGAUCGGACAGUCCCGGACACAUCUCAGGGUUACUUCUUUGCAUGGUAUAAAAAGAGAAAGUAUGAUCAUUAGAAAAAACUCAGUAUCGAGAACUGUCAAAACUUAAAAAAUGGCUACUUAAGGUUUUGACAGUUCCCAUUGAAAUUGUUGUUGUAAACAAAUUUGUCUUAGAAAUUGUUGUUGCUUUUGACUUUGCCAAAUAUUAAACGUCAAAACCUUAUUACCCCAUUUUGUAAGAUGGCGGCUCUAAUGAUCAUACCUUGUCUUUUUAU